rnacentral:lncRNA from 1 species
UUCAAUGCCUGAAGGCGGGUCAUCGACAAAGCUGCCUCGGUCUCCCAAUGCUCCUAUUGCUCCUAGGAGGGUGAAAAGAAUGAAGAAGAGAAGAAGGGGUUCAGCUUCAUAAAUGGGAAUUCCAGUCUCCAGGUUCAACUGCGCUAGAAUUCCUUUCCCUGUUAUCGCUUCACCUAGCAAGGAUGCCUGCAAGAUUACACCAAAAGCCGAUUGUUAAUAUGUAUCAGUACUGCUCAUUUUAAUUUCACAAGAGAAUUUGACAUCUCAAUUUUUGCCCUGGUAAAACAGUUAAUCACUCUACCCUGUUUUGUUUUCUGUUUUUUUAGUGCCUAGAGAACUGUGGGACAAGCUGACAUUGCUAACAGAACAGCACCAACCCUCAAAAACAAUGUGUUUGAACAAAUAAAGGAGCCAAGUGAAAUCUUUUAUUUCCUUUAAUCUGUUCUGACUACAACGUCCAAAAUUUUCUGACUAAACCGAUAUUUUUCCUCCGACUUUUCACUGUGAAAAAUGAAUCAUUUUUAAGCAAAUCGUUAACAAUUAUAUUGUGUAUUGAUACGACACAGCAACAACUGCUAAUUUUAUUAAACAGAACUUGUUGCUAUUAAAAAUUCAACCAGCAUCAAGGAAAAACAAUGAAGCCAGCUACAAUCCCAGCUAAUAAGAAAAUACUAAAAACUGAUGAGACUACUCAAGUGCUAAAUAUAGCUUGGUUGAAAAGAAG